CCUGAAUGCUGUGCCUGCCGUCUCCAGCUAGGAAAAGCGUCCCUGUGCCUGCAAAACCUAUAUAACAAGCAUUGUUCUGACUUCUCUCCUCUUGGUUGAUUUCAAGCAUCUCUGGUUUGUCGGUCAGAGAGCUGAUGCUGAGGAUGACAGUUUCCAAGGUGUUUCUAAGAGAGCAGUCUAAUUGCUGCUCCUGGGCUCAACAGGAGAGAAGCCUUCUGCAGAGGUGCGAGCAGAGAAUCAAAGAGGGAUAGCUUUGUGCGGAGAAGAUUGAAAACUACUGAGAGAGGACACUGCAUUUCAUCAAAAGAAAGCACUAUGUGUAACAGCAAUAAUGGUACAAAUCAGUCAUUUCCCUUCUCACUCCUCCAACUCCAUCUGCUGAUCACUCAUGAGAGCUCUAACAGCAGAACUGCUUCCAAGGGUUGUUGAAGAUGUGGAACAGUGAAGGCUGCCUUGUCAAGCCUCCAAGAGAAAAUAGCAGCAGAGAUGAGUUUUUGAGUACAUUAGUAAUAAUACUGUAUUGAUCUCAAAACACUUUACAAACAUUCACUAAUUAAGCUUCAAAACAGUGAAGUCAGGUUGCAUUAAUAAAGCCCAUUUAGCAGAUGAAGAAGUGGAGGUAAACAAAAAGUAAGUGAAGUGACCAGAGUAAAGCAGUGAGUAAAGGUCGGAGAAAGAUAUACUGGUUUGCAGUUGUUCUGCCUUUCAUGUGAUCUCACUGAGAAAAAUUAUUCAGUGAAGCUUGCAGCCAUUUCAAAUUGAAUUGUUCGGGUCAUUUUAUCGCCAAGUCUGAACAAUUGUUACAAGAAUCAAGAUGAUAUAAAGGCUCGCAAAAGUAAUAAACUUAUCAGGUUUGGCUUUGACUGACAAGGGGCCGUUUCUGAAAGCAGAGUAGGGGCAGCAGCAGCCAUGGGAUUUUCUGUGCCGUGAUCCUUUUUUUUUCUCAUUUAUGUUGCUCUAGUGGUGCUAGCUGGAUAGAAAACUGCAUUAGCCUGCAAAAUGGGAAUUCAUGUGGACUUGAGACUGAUGUCAUGCAUCUAUCCCACCCUUCCUAUGGGAGAGGUAAAGCCUUCUCAAGGGAUUGCUCUGCUCUGGUGAUCCCAGCCUUGGGGCUAUUAUAGGGUGGAAUGGCUUAGAGUAAGUGGAGCAACCCUGGCUUAAACCAAUGUAACAAAGUGAAGGAUCACACAGUAAGUGAAUCACAUAUAGCAGUGCUGACCCAAACAGAGGAUGAUGGCUUAGAGCACGUUCCUCAGAGACAUUAAGUUAUACUUGCAAAGGCAGGCCUCAAAGCCAAGGCUUAUACUUUCUUAAUGGGCUUCAUUAGGAAGAAAGGAACUGGAAAAAAGACGUGUAGUUUAAAAGGGAACAGCUUCAGCAGAGUCUAAAAUUUGUUCCAUUUUUCUAUAAAAGAAGCCAAUCCUGCCUUAAAAUUCAUGUCCCUUCAAAGUUCAAGGAGGCCUGUACUUUUGGCCUGCUCACUCAGAGCACUCCAGCCACUUAUUGUAUGUGGAACGCACUCCAGGGACUGGCUGAAAAAAUAUGAUUUAGUGAAAGCUUGUACCCAAAACACAUCAUUGGCCUCUGAUCUCUGAACAUUUAAAUAUUUCAAGCUUACAAGCGGACGCUGUCAUGAGGACAGACCCUGAUCCCUAGCUGAUUCUAGAACAUCUGUUGAGGCAUUUACCAAGUUAAUAGAUUAGCUAUGAGAAUCAGGCAGGUGUUUUUCACCAAAGCCAGAAAACAUCAAAAUCAGAUUGCCCUCCAAGUCUUUCAGCACAGGCAAUCGAGUUAGAAUGACUCAUAGAGUCUAACAGAUAAUAAAACACACAUAACAUUUGCUUUAAGGUACAGGUGGGGAUAUUUUGUACUGCGCUUAGGAGAAAGAAAAACUAACUCUAUUUGGGAAUAGAGUAAUUGAAUACAGAUGGGAGGAGGCAAAUGAAAGAAUUUAGUAAAUAUCUCAGUGGAAUAGCUAAUGGGAACGAGACAGAAUAGGAAAUUAAAAAUUAUUCGAAGCAGAUGGACCAUUCUUUGAGUUUUUUAAAAUUUAUUAGGGCUGCGAAAAAAAUGUGUCUGUUUAUUUUCCACGGCCGUGAAAUUAAUGACUUGGUGAGUUGUGCUUGUGCAAUUUUAUGACUGCCAUGUCAUUUGUCAUAAUUUGGGUGCUGUUUGAUAUGGAUUUAUGAAUAUUUCCUCCCCCCAGCAUGAUUUAUGGGUGUUGGUCAUAUGUGAAUUAGACUGUCACCUUUAGUAUGAAAAAGUACAAAUGACAGAUUAUGAAAAAAAAAAAAGAAGUGCUCAAGUCCUUAGUGCUUGCUGGAAAGCAGAGUUCACAAUCCCCUCCUCUGCUGCUUCAUUGGAAGUUUUGGUUUGGAGCUGACAAUUAAAUGUUUGGACUCGAGUCAAGCAUAUGGGAACACUGAGAAUGGAUCUGAACUCAUCUGAACUUCACCUGUGAAACUCAGCUUGAGUCAUCCUUUCCUAGUACUUUUCAUUGAAAAAAAACAAAAAGGACUACUUGCCAUAGGAAUGACUGAUGGACCGUGCCAGAGCAGCAAGUUGGCCUGGCAAAUUGCUGUCUUGCUUCCAGUAGUGGUUACCUCUGGGUGAAGCUUCCAUCAAAAGUGAAAAUAAUCUGACACAACAAGUCUAGUUCUGCAGCACUGCAUAGUUGAAGGUAUGAAGUCAAAGGGCAUAGAAACCAGUUUGAACUUCUGCAAUAAUCAUAGAAUCACAGAAUGGUUUGGGCUGAAAGGGACCUUAAAGAUCAUCUGGAUCACCUUCCACUAGAAUAAUAGUAUCCUAGGUUUAGUUCCAAAGCGCUAAAUUUCAUGCUAUUAUCACUUCUACCAAAACUAUUAGUAUUUGCCAUUUGUUUUGCAACAUGUAGCAGCAGCAUAUACCAGCUUAGGACAGAAGCACAGCUGCUCCUGGAUUUGAGCUACCUGACUUCAAGCACAUAACCCAGGCACCUAAACUAGAACCUAAUCUUCUGAAGUUGCCCCGUUGGUGCUGGAAGGAGAUAAGCACGUCCAGAGAGCAAUUCAGCCAAAGUGUCUCUGUCCAUUGACUAUGCAGGCAGGCUAAAACAGUAAGCCUUCCUAAUUUAGCUCCCCAGUUUGGUGUAGAAAGUUAUGUAGGAGGAAUUAGAGCCCAGCACGGGAUUCAGUUUUAAAAAGAAGAAACAAUACACCUUGCAUGACAACAAAAUAUUGCUGAUCAUCUUUCAUGCUGAGCUAGCAAAUGUUGCCUUUAUGGGGGAUAUAACUGGUACAUUCUGUAAUUCUUAGACAACCAUACGCUGAAGCCCAUUUACUUAGGCCCAGACAACAUUGCUUCUCCAGUGGGAGGCUGAUAAUUCUUAGUGCUAAGUAUCUCUGCAGUUAUGACGAAAGGAUGGAUUAUUUUGCAGGGAGCCACAAGGGCAGUCUGACUGUUUGGAUAGCACUUAUUAUCUCUAAGGGUAAUUGGUGGCUUAUUUUUGUUCAUAGUCAAGCAA